UAAGGAAUAUUGGUCAAUGGACGCAAGUCUGAACCAGCCAUGCCGCGUGAAGGAUGAAGGUCCUCUGGAUUGUAAACUUCUUUUAUCUGGGACGAAAACGGGAUUUUUAUCUCAAUUGACGGUACCAGAGGAAUAAGCACCGGCUAACUCCGUGCCAGCAGCCGCGGUAAUACGGAGGGUGCGAGCGUUAUCCGGAUUUACUGGGGUUAAAGGGUGCGUAGGUGGGCUUAUAAGUCAGUGGUGAAAUCUCCGAGCUUAACUUGGAAACUGCCGUUGAUACUAUAGGUCUUGAAUUAUCUGGAGGUAAGCGGGAUAUGUCAUGUAGCGGUGAAAUGCUUAGAUAUGACAUAGAACACCAAUUGCGAAGGCAGCUUACUACAUAUAAAUUGACGCUGAGGCACGAAAGCGUGGGGAUCAAACA
rnacentral:rRNA from 1 species